rnacentral:lncRNA from 1 species
UGAUUUGAAAGCACAAUUAUCUUUGUAAAGAUACUUUUGAAAAGUUGUGGAUAAUAGGUUAACAAUACCUCUCUCCUCUUAAAGACAAGUGUGACCUUGGAUUAACUUUCCAGCUCUGUUGCUUGGAAAUGUGAUAAGGUGACUGUCCACUGUGUUAUUAGGCAACAUGGCUUGUGGUAAAAAUUACCCAGUUACCUGGUGGGAAGCUAUAGCUUUGGGCUCCUCUGAAGGUAGUUUUACAACACACAUUGACAUUUUUGAUGCACGAGGCUUCUAUACCAGGAUGGCUCCCUAAUCUUCCCACUGUGGAUAUUUCCUUGUACCUGAGCUGGUGAGAAGAUGGGAGGGGGCAAGAGAGAUGGAAAGCUGCUGGACUGCGGUAUGCACUCCUGUGAGGACCACUCCACUGAAAAGGAAUGCCCAGUGCUGCCCUUCCUGACCUAUAUCCUUUUAAGUAUAUGGAUGACAACUAGGGUCCAUGGUAGUCUUGAUUCUGGGAAGAUGAGGUGGCCUACAGGACCAAGAGACCAAAGCUGUAUCGAGUGAGUCAGACUAUCUAGUUGCUAGCUGAUCACAGAAGAGAAGGUCAGAGAGAUGCAUUCAGGCCGGCCUGGAAAAAAGCAAACAUUCAUAUUGGGAACUACCACUGGUGGCGACAUGUUACCGAACUGCAAGCAGUAUCUGGAAGCUAAGAGUCAUCCCUGGUCAACAACUAACAGGACAACAGGGACCUUAAUCCUACAGUUACAAGGACUGCCAACAAGUGACCUUGGAUAAAGACCCUAAGCCCCAGAUGAGAACUGAAACCCUGGCAACACCUUGAUUUCAGUGAGAUCCUAUACAGAGAAUCUAGCCACACUGUGGCCUGGACUUCUGACCUACAAUAACUAUGAGAUAAUAAAUGUGUUCUUUUUAGCCACUAAAUUUGUGAUAAUUUUUUAUGCAGCAUUUAAAAAGUAACACAAUCUGCAUAAUAAAUUCCUACAAAUGAAAUUGCUAGAUCAAGGGGACAUGCACUUAAAAUUUAUAAAUAUAUUACAAAAUUGCUCUUCAAAUACCUCACAUCUUUGUUGUUGUUGUUGUUGUUGUUGAGACAGGGUCUCACUAUGUCUCCCAGGCUGGAGUGUAGUGGUGAUCACAACUCACUAUAGCCACAAACUCCUGAGCUCAGGUGAUCCUCCCACCUCAAUCAGCCUCCUGAGUAGCUGGGACUAUAGGUAAGUGCCUCUAUGCACAGCUAAUUUUUUGUGUUUUAUUUUGUAGAGAUGGGAUUUCAACAUGUUGACCAGGCUGGUCUUGAACUCUUGGGCUCAAGUGAUCCACUCACCUGAGCCUCCAAAAGUACUGGGAUUACAGGCAUGAGCCACCAUGCUCAACUUACACCAAUUUAAACAUCCACCAACAGUAGAUUUAAAACUUCCUGGUAAUUAGCUGCUGAUUUAAAGUGUUUAUUCCAGUAAGUCACCAAGGGCUGGAAGGAUUUGUAUCUUGCCCUCUUGCAGCUGACUUUUGACAGAGGGACUUUUUAAGAAGUGAUUAUCCUCUAAAAUUUCUUUUAAUAACAAAGACCUUUUCUUUGAGGCUCUACUAGGAGGGAUGUUUUCAUUACAACUACUAUCUCCAAUGUAAGAAGAUACUGGUAGCAAGAAUUCAUAUGAGCAUAUGAAACACUAUAAAUAGCAAUCUACCUAUCAGUAAAGGGAUCUGUGGCAGAU